rnacentral:rRNA from 1 species
AGAGUUUGAUCCUGGCUCAGGAUGAACGCUGGCGGCGUGCUUAACACAUGCAAGUCGAACGAACCUUCGGGUUAGUGGCGGACGGGUGAGUAACGCGUGAGAAUCUGCCCUCAGGAGGGGGAUAACGGUUGGGAACGACCGCUAAUACCCCAUAUGCCGAGAGGUGAAAUGAAUUUCGCCUGAGGAUGAGCUCGCGUCUGAUUAGCUAGUUGGUGUGGUAAUGGCGCACCAAGGCUUCGAUCAGUAGCUGGUCUGAGAGGAUGAUCAGCCACACUGGGACUGAGACACGGCCCAGACUCCUACGGGAGGCAGCAGUGGGGAAUUUUCCGCAAUGGGCGAAAGCCUGACGGAGCAACGCCGCGUGAGGGAUGAAGGCCUCUGGGCUGUAAACCUCUUUUCUCAAGGAAGAAGAUCUGACGGUACUUGAGGAAUAAGCCACGGCUAAUUCCGUGCCAGCAGCCGCGGUAAUACGGGAGUGGCAAGCGUUAUCCGGAAUUAUUGGGCGUAAAGCGUCCGCAGGCGGCCUCGAAAGUCUGUCGUUAAAGCGUGGAGCUUAACUCCAUUUAAGCGGUGGAAACUACGAGGCUAGAGUGUGGUAGGGGCAGAGGGAAUUCCCGGUGUAGCGGUGAAAUGCGUAGAUAUCGGGAAGAACACCAGUGGCGAAGGCGCUCUGCUGGGCCAUAACUGACGCUCAUGGACGAAAGCCAGGGGAGCGAAAGGGAUUAGAUACCCCUGUAGUCCUGGCCGUAAACGAUGAACACUAGGUGUCGGGGGAAUCGACCCCCUCGGUGUCGUAGCUAACGCGUUAAGUGUUCCGCCUGGGGAGUACGCACGCAAGUGUGAAACUCAAAGGAAUUGACGGGGGCCCGCACAAGCGGUGGAGUAUGUGGUUUAAUUCGGUGCAACGCGAAGAACCUUACCAGGGCUUGACAUCCUGCGAAUCCCUUGGAAACUUGGGAGUGCCUUCGGGAGCGCAGAGACAGGUGGUGCAUGGCUGUCGUCAGCUCGUGUCGUGAGAUGUUGGGUUAAGUCCCGCAACGAGCGCAACCCACGUCUUUAGUUGCCAGCAUUAAGUUGGGCACUCUAGAGAGACCGCCGGUGAUAAACCGGAGGAAGGUGUGGAUGACGUCAAGUCAUCAUGCCCCUUACGUCCUGGGCUACACACGUACUACAAUGCUACGGACAAAGGGCAGCAAACUCGCGAGAGCUAGCAAAUCCCAUAAACCGUGGCUCAGUUCAGAUCGUAGGCUGCAACUCGCCUACGUGAAGGAGGAAUCGCUAGUAAUCGCAGGUCAGCAUACUGCGGUGAAUACGUUCCCGGGCCUUGUACACACCGCCCGUCACACCAUGGAA